AGCUUUGCACAGUGGCAGGCAGUAUCAUAGCCAAUGAGGUUUAUCUGAGACACGGUUAUUGCUAAUUGAAAAUUUUCCUAAUACUCUGCCAUGAUGACUUGAAAUAUAGUCGGCAUUAGCACUUUUUGGCAGUCUUUAAGGGGA
ensembl:snRNA U4 U4 spliceosomal RNA